rnacentral:rRNA from 1 species
CAAUAGCGUAUAUUUAAGUUGCUGCAGUUAAAAAGCUCGUAGUUGUAUUUCGGGUGGGAAUGGCCGGUCCGCCGUUUCGGUGUGCACUUGCUACGCCCACCUUGCUGCCGGGGACGUGCUCUUGAGUUCACGCUCGGGACACGGAGUCGGCGAGGUUACUUUGAGUAAAUUAGAGUGUUCAAAGCAGGCCUACGCUCUGAAUACAUUAGCAUGGAAUAACACGAUAGGACUCUGGCCUAUCUUGUUGGUCUGUAGGACCGGAGUAAUGAUUAAGAGGGACAGUCGGGGGCAUUCGUAUUUCAUUGUCAGAGGUGAAAUUCUUGGAUUUAUGAAAGACGAACUACUGCGAAAGCAUUUGCCAAGGAUGUUUUCAUUAA